UACCCGCUGAACUUAAGCAUAUCAAUAAGCGGAGGAAAAGAAACCAACAGGGAUUGCCUCAGUAACGGCGAGUGAAGCGGCAAAAGCUCAAAUUUGAAAUCUAGCACUUUCAGUGUUCGAGUUGUAAUUUGAAGAAGGUAACUUUGGUUUUGGCUCUUGUCUAUGUUCCUUGGAACAGGACGUCACAGAGGGUGAGAAUCCCGUGCGAUGAGAUGCCCAAUUCCAUGUAAAGUGCUUUCGAAGAGUCGAGUUGUUUGGGAAUGCAGCUCUAAGUGGGUGGUAAAUUCCAUCUAAAGCUAAAUAUUGGCGAGAGACCGAUAGCGAACAAGUACAGUGAUGGAAAGAUGAAAAGAACUUUGAAAAGAGAGUGAAAAAGUACGUGAAAUUGUUGAAAGGGAAGGGCUUGAGAUCAGACUUGGUAUUUUGCGUUCCCUUCCUUUUUGGUUGGGUUCCUCGCAGUUUACUGGGCCAGCAUCGGUUUGGAUGGUAGGAUAAUGACAUUGGAAUGUAGCUUUACUUCGGUGAAGUGUUAUAGACUUUGUUGAUACUGCCUAUCUAGACCGAGGACUGCGUCUUUGACUAGGAUGCUGGCGUAAUGAUCUUAAGCCGCCCGUCUUGAAACACGGACC
rnacentral:rRNA from 1 species